rnacentral:rRNA from 1 species
UACGGGGGGGGCAAGCGUUGCUCGGAAUCACUGGGCGUAAAGCGCACGUAGGCGGAUUGUUAAGUCAGGGGUGAAAUCCUGGAGCUCAACUCCAGAACUGCCUUUGAUACUGAGGAUCUUGAGUUCGGGAGAGGUGAGUGGAACUGCGAGUGUAGAGGUGAAAUUCGUAGAUAUUCGCAAGAACACCAGUGGCGAAGGCGGCUCACUGGCCCGAUACUGACGCUGAGGCACGAAAGCGUGGGGAGCAAACAGG